UUUAUUUUAUAUAUUGAAAAUGUUUGAAAAUUUUGGUAUAAAUAUUGGUUUCCUUUAAUAUUUCAGUAUCAUUUAACAUAAUGAAAUUGUACGCUUACUUUGGUUUUGUCUUGGCCUUAAUAGCUUUGGCUAUGGGCAAUCCUGAACCUCAACCUCAACCAAAUCCUCUACCCUUGGGAGGUGGUGGUGGCGGAGGCGGCGGUGGUGGUGGCAAGUAAUCCAAUUGUAUUUGUAAACCCCAUGACAGAUUUCCUUGUAUUAAGAAAAAUAAAUGAUUAUAUAAAAAAUA